CGACUAUUUUGAGUCUUAAUCUGUGGAUUUAUAUCAAAAUCACUUAUCUUAUGUGAGGGAUAGAAGCAGAAAUAAUUUGCUCAAAAAAAGUAGACGGUGAUGACCAAAAAAAGAAAAACCCUAAUUCACGAAGAAAUUAAAGGAAUUAAAAGUGGGUUGAAUAUUUUUCAAGAAAUUUCUUCAUCUCCAAUUCCAACUAAAAAACACGAAAGUUCCAGUGCACUGUUUCAACACGAAUCUUACAAAAAGUUCGCAAACAAAGAAAAUAAGGUUAUGCACAAUAUGUAUGAAUAACAUCUAUAUUUUUCUGUGGAAUAUAUUAUUUUCAUAGA